rnacentral:rRNA from 1 species
AUUGAACGCUGGCGGCAGGCCUAACACAUGCAAGUCGAACGGCUGAAGAGUGCUUGCUCGUGGAUUCGGCUGCGGACGGGUGAGUAAUGCCUAGAAAUCUGCCUGGCAAUGGGGGAUAGCGUGCGGAAGCGGGCGCUAAUACGGCAUACGUCCUGAGGAAGAAAGGGGGGAAGCUUCGGACCUCACGCUAUCAGAUGAGCCUAUGUCGGAUUAGCUAGUUGGUGGGGUAAAGGCCUACCAAGGCGACGAUCCGUAACUGGUCUGAGAGGAUGAUCAGUCACACUGGAACUGAGACACGGUCCAGACUCCUACGGGAGGCAGCAGUGGGGAAUAUUGGACAAUGGGCGAAAGCCUGAUCCAGCCAUGCCGCGUGUGUGAAGAAGGUCUUCGGAUUGUAAAGCACUUUAAGUUGGGAGGAAGGGCAGUAAGUUAAUACCUUGCUGUUUUGACGUUACCAACAGAAUAAGCACCGGCUAACUUCGUG